rnacentral:misc_RNA from 1 species
AAUUUUACAAAAUUUUGUGGAAUUUUUUUUGAACCAAACUUACUCUUAGGGAGAUUUGGAUAUGGAUAAGCCAUUAUGUUUUGCAUAUGUAUACACUCAAAGAGAGAGAGAUGGCUAUUACUGAUAAUUCAUUAUCAGAUUUAACUGGUGAUUUUGAUUGGAACAAAAUGUUUUAGCUAUUGAAAACUAAUGGGCUUUUUUACUUUCAA